AUUGAACGCUGGCGGCAGGCCUAACACAUGCAAGUCGAGCGAGCGGCGGACGGGUGAGUAAUGUAUGGGGACUGCCCGAUAGAGGGGGAUAACUACUGGAAACGGUGGCUAAUACCGCAUACUAUCGGAUAACCCAUAUGGGAUUAGCUAGUAGGGGGGGUAACGGCUCACCUAGGCGACGAUCUCUAGCUGGUCUGUGAGGAUGACCAGCCACACGUGGACUUAGACCAGGCCGAGACUCCUACGGAGGCAGCAUUGGGGAAUAUUGCACAAUGGGCGCAAGCGUGAUGCAGCCAUGCCGCGUGUAUGAAGAAGGCCUUAUGGUUGUAAAGUACUUUCAUCGGGUAGGCUUUACUCGCAGGAGAGGCACCGGCUAACUCCGUGCCAGCAGCCGCGGUAAUUC
rnacentral:rRNA from 1 species